AGCAGUGAGGAAUAUUGGUCAAUAGCCUAACGGCUGAACCAGCAAUUUGGAAGAAUGUUUAGCAAUAGCUGAUUGCACCUUUAAACAGUAAGUGCGAAAUUGAUUAAAUCAAAUAAAAUUCUAGGUAGACUUAUGAUAAUGACAAAGCCUACCUAAGUCUUGACCAAAUUACGUGCCAGCAGUCGCGGUAAUACGUAAAAGACUAGUGUUAUUCAUCUUUAAUUGGUUUAAAGGGUACCUAGACAGUAAAUAAAGCCUUAGUGGGAACUAAUUUGCUAGAGUUACUUAUAAGGGGGUAUUAAAGUACUGCAGGUGUAGAGAUGAAAUUUUGUUAUACCUCUUUUCACAAGAAAAACUAUGGCACAGGUAUAGGUGAAAACAUCCCCUUAUGUGAUAACUGACGUUGAAGGACGAAGGA
rnacentral:rRNA from 1 species